rnacentral:rRNA from 1 species
AUGACUAGGGAUAACCUUAGGAAGAGACACAUCAUCAAACCCCUUGAUUGUGUUUACUGCUUGGAACAAGAGUCUUGUUCUCACCUAUUUUUUGAAUGUAUAGUUGCUAAACAUCUCUGGGCCCACAUUAAGGAAUAUUUCUCUAGUCAGAUUGGCUCAUCCUUCGAAUCUAUCACCAGAUUCUGGAUUGCUACCAAAAACUGCUCAGUUUUAAACACUGUUAGCUCAGCUGUCCUUGGGUGCCCCUGGAAAUAUAGAAAUGCUAUGAUUUUCAGUAACACCUCCUGGAUUUCCAUUCCACAGGUCUUGAGGUUGAUCAGGAACAUGGUGAGGAACUGGGCGAUUCUCUCCUCCGGAUCGGACAAGGACAAGUUGAUAAGCUUCGUGGAAACCCUAACAAGAUCCCACCAGAAACCAUUGGCGAUCACUUGUGGCUGA